rnacentral:lncRNA from 1 species
AUUGAACACGUGCAGAAGGGCUGCUUCUGACAAGCUUGUGUCUUGCCUCUGUGUACCCUGAAUGCCAGUUCCCAGUGGGGCCCCAGGAGAGGUAUGCAUGCAGUGUGGGACAUUGAUGCCUUUCCCCAGGAAACAGGAGCAGCAUGUGCUCCACCCACCUGUCACUCCUCAGGGCCUGGCCCACUCCUUGCCUGUCCCUCCAGAGAAGCAUGCCCUGGAGAAGCCAGGCUUGAGCACGACAGGACUUGCAUGCCAUCUCUCUGAAUCACAAGCUGCAUCCAUGUGUG